rnacentral:lncRNA from 1 species
CUUGUGCACUGCAGCAGCACUCUCUCUUUGUCUUGCUUAUGUAGAUGUACAGCACCAGCAGCUGUUGGUGGUCAUACAUAUUUCAGACCAAAUGUGUGUAUUGGGCACAGCCCAAGAGAGAACUUUCUGUGAAUGUGGUGAUGCAUGUGACUGUCAUGUUUAUAUAACAUCCAUAUUUAAAAUAUGCAUAUCUUACUGCAUAAUAAGACAGCACGCUUUACUUCUGCCCUGCAAAUUCUGGAAUGAAAUCAUUUCUUGUAACGUUUGUCCAGUGCACAAGAUCUUUCUCUAUUUUCUCUCUCACUUCAGUUUUCCUCAGUUAUUUUUCACUGACACUUAUUACGGUGGUUGAGGAUCCAGGCUGUGACUGCAGGCUGAAUGCCAAAGUUCCCGUUAAAGCCAGCUAUAGUUUUGCCUGAAUAAGGACCAGAGGACCUAGCCAGAUCUUGUAGGAUAAAAGGGAUCCUCUUACUGGGGGAAGACAGAGAACAGAGAUCCUGUACAGUCCUUGGGAAGACAU